rnacentral:rRNA from 1 species
GUAGGUGGCAAGCGUUGUCCGGAAUUAUUGGGCGUAAAGCGCGCGCAGGGCGGUCCUUUAAGUCUGAUGUGAAAGCCCACGGCUCAACCGUGGAGGGUCAUUGGAAACUGGGGGACCUGAGUACAGAAGAGGAAAGCGGAAUUCCAAGUGUAGCGGUGGAAUGCGUAGAGAUUUGGAGGAACACCAGUGGCGAAGGCGGCUUUCUGGUCUGUAACUGACGCUGAGGCGCGAAAGCGUGGGGAGCAAACAGGAUUAGAUACCCUGGUAGUCCACGCCGUAAACGAUGAGUGCUAAGUGUUAGGGGGUUUCCGCCCCUUAGUGCUGCAGCUAACGCAUUAAGCACUCCGCCUGGGGAGUACGGCCGCAAGGCUG